GUGGGGAAUUUUGGACAAUGGGCGCAAGCCUGAUCCAGCAAUGCCGCGUGCAGGAAGAAGGCCUUCGGGUUGUAAACUGCUUUUGUACGGAACGAAACGGUCCGGGUUAAUACCCUGGGCUAAUGACGGUACCGUAAGAAUAAGCACCGGCUAACUACGUGCCAGCAGCCGCGGUAAUACGUAGGGUGCAAGCGUUAAUCGGAAUUACUGGGCGUAAAGCGUGCGCAGGCGGUUUUGUAAGAAAGGCGUGAAAGCCCCGGGCUCAACCUGGGAAUUGCGCUUGUGACUGCAAGGCUGGAGUGCGGCAGAGGGGGAUGGAAUUCCGCGUGUAGCAGUGAAAUGCGUAGAUAUGCGGAGGAACACCGAUGGCGAAGGCAAUCCCCUGGGCCUGCACUGACGCUCAUGCACGAAAGCGUGGGGAGCAAACAGGAUUAGAAACCCGGGUAGUCC
rnacentral:rRNA from 1 species